rnacentral:rRNA from 1 species
AUUGAACGCUGGCGGCAUGCCUUACACAUGCAAGUCGAACGGCAGCACGGGGGCAACCCUGGUGGCGAGUGGCGAACGGGUGAGUAAUACAUCGGAACGUGCCCAGUAGUGGGGGAUAGCCCGGCGAAAGCCGGAUUAAUACCGCAUACGACCUACGGGUGAAAGUGGGGGAUCGCAAGACCUCGCGCUAUCGGAGCGGCCGAUGUCAGAUUAGGUUGUUGGUGGGGUAAAAGCCUACCAAGCCGGCGAUCUGUAGCUGGUCUGAGAGGACGACCAGCCACACUGGGACUGAGACACGGCCCAGACUCCUACGGGAGGCAGCAGUGGGGAAUUUUGGACAAUGGGCGCAAGCCUGAUCCAGCCAUGCCGCGUGCGGGAAGAAGGCCU